rnacentral:rRNA from 1 species
UACGUAGGUGGCAAGCGUUGUCCGGAUUUAUUGGGUUUAAGGGGUGCGUAGGCGGUCAUAUAAGUCAGUGGGGAAAUACUUCAGCUCAACUGGAGAGGUGCCAUUGAUACUGUAUGACUUGAGUACAGACGAGGUAGGCGGAAUUGACGGUGUAGCGGUGAAAUGCUUAGAUAUCGUCAAGAACACCGAUAGCGCAGGCAGCUUACUAGACUGUAACUGACGCUGAUGCACGAAAGUGUGGGGAUCAACCAGG